rnacentral:rRNA from 1 species
CGGGGGGAGCAAGCGUUGUUCGGAUUUACUGGGCGUAAAGGGCGCGUAGGCGGCCACCGCAAGUCGACUGUGAAAUCUCCGGGCUUAACCCGGAAAGGUCAGCCGAUACUGCGGGGCUAGAGUGCAGAAGGGGGCAACUGGAAUUCUCGGUGUAGCGGUGAAAUGCGUAGAUAUCGAGAGGAACACCUGCGGCGAAGGCGGGUUGCUGGGCUGACACUGACGCUGAGGCGCGAAAGCUAGGGGAGCGAACGGGAUUAGAUACCCCGGUAGUCCUAGCCUUAAACGAUGAAUGCUUGGUGUCUGGGGUUUUAUAGUCCCCGGGUGCCGUCGCUAACGCUCUAAGCAUUCCGCCUGGGGAGUACGGUCGCAAGACUG